GACAGAGGUCUCGAGCGUUAGGCGGAAUCACUGGGCUUAAAGCGUGUGUAGGCGGACUUGUAAGUACCUUGUGAAAUCCCACGGCUUAACCGUGGAACUGCUGGGUAUACUGGUUGUCUUGAGCCACUUAGGGGCGAGCGGAACAAAUGGUGGAGCGGUGAAAUGCGUAGAUAUCAUUUGGAACGCCAAUGGUGAAGACAGCUCGCUGGGAGUGUGCUGACGCUGAGACACGAAAGCCAGGGUAGCGAACGGG
rnacentral:rRNA from 1 species